rnacentral:rRNA from 1 species
UAACCGGCGAUUUCCGAAUGGGGAAACCCAGUGUGUUUCGACACACUAUCAUUAACUGAAUCCAUAGGUUAAUGAGGCGAACCGGGGGAACUGAAACAUCUAAGUACCCCGAGGAAAAGAAAUCAACCGAGAUUCCCCCAGUAGCGGCGAGCGAACGGGGAGGAGCCCAGAGCCUGAAUCAGUGUGUGUGUUAGUGGAAGCGUCUGGAAAGGCGCGCGAUACAGGGUGACAGCCCCGUACACAAAAAUGCACAUAUUGUGAGCUCGAUGAGUAGGGCGGGACACGUGGUAUCCUGUCUGAAUAUGGGGGGACCAUCCUCCAAGGCUAAAUACUCCUGACUGACCGAUAGUGAACCAGUACCGUGAGGGAAAGGCGAAAAGAACCCCGGCGAGGGGAGUGAAAAAGAACCUGAAACCGUGUACGUACAAGCAGUGGGAGCCUCUUUAUGGGGUGACUGCGUACCUUUUGUAUAAUGGGUCAGCGACUUAUAUUCUGUAGCAAGGUUAACCGAAUAGGGGAGCCGAAGGGAAACCGAGUCUUAACUGGGCGUUAAGUUGCAGGGUAUAGACCCGAAACCCGGUGAUCUAGCCAUGGGCAGGUUGAAGGUUGGGUAACACUAACUGGAGGACCGAACCGACUAAUGUUGAAAAAUUAGCGGAUGACUUGUGGCUGGGGGUGAAAGGCCAAUCAAACCGGGAGAUAGCUGGUUCUCCCCGAAAGCUAUUUAGGUAGCGCCUCGUGAAUUCAUCUCCGGGGGUAGAGCACUGUUUCGGCAAGGGGGUCAUCCCGACUUACCAACCCGAUGCAAACUGCGAAUACCGGAGAAUGUUAUCACGGGAGACACACGGCGGGUGCUAACGUCCGUCGUGAAGAGGGAAACAACCCAGACCGCCAGCUAAGGUCCCAAAGUCAUGGUUAAGUGGGAAACGAUGUGGGAAGGCCCAGACAGCCAGGAUGUUGGCUUAGAAGCAGCCAUCAUUUAAAGAAAGCGUAAUAGCUCACUGGUCGAGUCGGCCUGCGCGGAAGAUGUAACGGGGCUAAACCAUGCACCGAAGCUGCGGCAGCGACACUAUGUGUUGUUGGGUAGGGGAGCGUUCUGUAAGCCUGUGAAGGUGGCCUGUGAGGGUUGCUGGAGGUAUCAGAAGUGCGAAUGCUGACAUAAGUAACGAUAAAGCGGGUGAAAAGCCCGCUCGCCGGAAGACCAAGGGUUCCUGUCCAACGUUAAUCGGGGCAGGGUGAGUCGACCCCUAAGGCGAGGCCGAAAGGCGUAGUCGAUGGGAAACAGGUUAAUAUUCCUGUACUUGGUGUUACUGCGAAGGGGGGACGGAGAAGGCUAUGUUGGCCGGGCGACGGUUGUCCCGGUUUAAGCGUGUAGGCUGGUUUUCCAGGCAAAUCCGGAAAACCAAGGCUGAGGCGUGAUGACGAGGCACUACGGUGCUGAAGCGACAAAUGCCCUGCUUCCAGGAAAAGCCUCUAAGCAUCAGGUAACAUCAAAUCGUACCCCAAACCGACACAGGUGGUCAGGUAGAGAAUACCAAGGCGCUUGAGAGAACUCGGGUGAAGGAACUAGGCAAAAUGGUGCCGUAACUUCGGGAGAAGGCACGCUGAUAUGUAGGUGAAGCGACUUGCUCGUGGAGCUGAAAUCAGUCGAAGAUACCAGCUGGCUGCAACUGUUUAUUAAAAACACAGCACUGUGCAAACACGAAAGUGGACGUAUACGGUGUGACGCCUGCCCGGUGCCGGAAGGUUAAUUGAUGGGGUUAGCGGUAACGCGAAGCUCUUGAUCGAAGCCCCGGUAAACGGCGGCCGUAACUAUAACGGUCCUAAGGUAGCGAAAUUCCUUGUCGGGUAAGUUCCGACCUGCACGAAUGGCGUAAUGAUGGCCAGGCUGUCUCCACCCGAGACUCAGUGAAAUUGAACUCGCUGUGAAGAUGCAGUGUACCCGCGGCAAGACGGAAAGACCCCGUGAACCUUUACUAUAGCUUGACACUGAACAUUGAGCCUUGAUGUGUAGGAUAGGUGGGAGGCUUUGAAGUGUGGACGCCAGUCUGCAUGGAGCCGACCUUGAAAUACCACCCUUUAAUGUUUGAUGUUCUAACGUUGGCCCGUAAUCCGGGUUGCGGACAGUGUCUGGUGGGUAGUUUGACUGGGGCGGUCUCCUCCUAAAGAGUAACGGAGGAGCACGAAGGUUGGCUAAUCCUGGUCGGACAUCAGGAGGUUAGUGCAAUGGCAUAAGCCAGCUUGACUGCGAGCGUGACGGCGCGAGCAGGUGCGAAAGCAGGUCAUAGUGAUCCGGUGGUUCUGAAUGGAAGGGCCAUCGCUCAACGGAUAAAAGGUACUCCGGGGAUAACAGGCUGAUACCGCCCAAGAGUUCAUAUCGACGGCGGUGUUUGGCACCUCGAUGUCGGCUCAUCACAUCCUGGGGCUGAAGUAGGUCCCAAGGGUAUGGCUGUUCGCCAUUUAAAGUGGUACGCGAGCUGGGUUUAGAACGUCGUGAGACAGUUCGGUCCCUAUCUGCCGUGGGCGCUGGAGAACUGAGGGGGGCUGCUCCUAGUACGAGAGGACCGGAGUGGACGCAUCACUGGUGUUCGGGUUGUCAUGCCAAUGGCACUGCCCGGUAGCUAAAUGCGGAAGAGAUAAGUGCUGAAAGCAUCUAAGCACGAAACUUGCCCCGAGAUGAGUUCUCCCUGAG